AUGGGGAACAAUGAUAGAGCAGCCAUCAUUGGAAAAGGAGAUGUGCAUUUGGAGACCGCAAAUGGUACAAGGUUAGUCCUCAAAUCUGUGAGGCAUGUUGAGGCACUUCGUCUCAACAUUAUUUCAGUUGGUUUGCUUGAUGGAGAUGAUUACUUGAGCAGUUUUGAAAAAGGGCAGUACAAGCUCACCAAAGGCAACAUGAUUGUUGCAAGAGGUAAAAUGGUCUCAGUUUUGUAUCAUGUUCAUGCUAAGCUCUUUAGUGCUUCUGUCAAUGCGCUAGAGAAGGAUGACCAUUGUGCUUUAUGGCACAAGAGACUUGGGCACAUAAGUGAGAAGGGGAUGACAGUGCUAGUGAAGAAAAACUUGUUGAAGGGUGUGAAAGGAGUUCACAUCAAGAAAUGUUCAGAUUGUCUAGCAGGGAAGCAACACCGAGUUGCCUUCAAGACUCUACCUCCUCACAAGAAGCCCGAGAAGCUGGACUUGAUACAUUCCGAUGUUUGCAAAAUGUCGGUAAGAUCUCUUGGUGGUGCUAAGUACUUUGUGACUUUUCUUGAUGAAUUUUCCAGGAAGGUUUGGGCCUUCACUUUGAGGAUCAAAGAUCAAGUACUAGGUGUAUUCAAGCAAUUCCAAGCCUCGGUUGAGAGAGAAACUGAGAAGAAGAUCAAGUGCAUUCGCACUGAUAAUGGAGGAGAGUACAUUGGGCCAUUUGAUGCAUAUUGCAAGCAGCAGGGUAUUAGGCAUCAAUUUACUCCCUCAAAGACACCACAGCUGAAUGGUCUUGCUGAGAGGAUGAACAGGACAAUUGUGGAGAGAGUUAGAUGCUUGUUGUCAAGUGCAAAGCUACGUAAACACUUUUGGGGUGAGGCUUUGAUGACUGCAGUUUAUCUUAUUAAUCUCUCACCAAGUUAUCCUUUGCAGGGAGAUGUUCCUAACAGGGUUUGGUGUGACAAGGACGUCUCAUAUGAGCACCUGAAGGUUUUUGGGUGCAAGGCCUUUGUUCAUAUUCCUCAAGAUGAAAGGUUAAAGCUUGAUUCGAAGACACGACAAUGUAUCUUUCUUGGUUAUGGUGGUGAUGAGUUUGGCUGCAAGCUGUUUGACCCUAUAGCAAGGAAAGUUGUGAGAAGCCGUGAUGUUGUGUUUGUUGAAGACCAAACAAUUGAGGAUAUUGUGAAGACAAAGGGGCAAGUUCCUCCUCAGGAGCAGCAAGACAUGAUUGAUUCUGACCCAGUUCCUGCAGCUCCAGCUCCUGUGCAAGUUGAAGCAGAUGCAGAAGAUGUACAAGAUGAUGUACAUGGUGGUGCAGGUGAAGAAGAUGCUCCCCAGCAGCAGCAACAAGAGUAUGAUGCUGAAGUUGAUGAUCCGGAUCAGCAGGAAGCACCAGCACCAGAAAGUCCACCAGCUGCUCCACUCAGAAGAUCCAACAGGGGUCGAAUUCCUUUCAGCAGGUAUCCCUCAGAUCAAUACGUGGUGUUAUUAUCUGACGGUUCAGAACCUGAAUGCUUUGCAGAUGCAAUGGAAGAUGAGCACAAGAAGGAGUGGAAAAAGGCUAUGCAAGAAGAGAUGGAUUCCUUGCAUAAGAAUCACACUUAUGAGUUGGUGAAGUUGCCCAAGGGCAAGAAAAUUUUGAAGAACAAGUGGGUCUACAAAAUCAAGCAAGAAGAGCACACAUCACAUCCAAGGUACAAAGCCAGGCUAGUUGUAAAAGGAUUCGGCCAGAGGAAAGGCAUUGACUAUGAUGAGAUCUUUUCUCCGGUUGUGAAGAUGACAUCCAUAAGAGUAAUCCUUGGCAUGGCAGCAAGUCUCAACUUGGAGGUUGAGCAAAUGGAUGUGAAGACUGCAUUCCUUCAUGGUGAGUUGGAGGAAGAAAUAUACAUGGAGCAACCUGAGGGGUUUCUUGUGAAAGGCAAGGAAGACUAUGUGUGCAAGCUGAAGAAAAGUCUCUAUGGCCUGAAACAAGCACCAAGACAAUGGUACAUGAAGUUUGAAACUAUCAUGGGGGAGCAAGGCUACAAGAAGUGUAGCUCAGACCAUUGUGUGUUUAUUCGGAGGUUCUUAGGUGAUGAUUUCAUCAUAUUAUUGCUCUAUGUUGAUGAUAUCCUGAUUGUUGGCAAGAAUGUCUCUAGGAUUGCUAAGUUGAAGAAGGAGUUGAGCAAAUGUUUUGCUAUGAAAGACUUAGGUCCAGCAAAGAACAUUCUCGGAAUGAGAAUUGAGCGAGAUAGAAAUUGCAACAAGUUGUACUUGUCUCAAGAGAAGUAUAUUGAGAAGGUACUUCAGAAGUUCAGGAUGGAAAAUGCUAAAGUUGUGAGUUGUCCACUAGCAGCCCAUUUCAAGUUGAGUAGAAAGCAAUGUCCUACCACUGAUGAGCAGAAAAAGGAAAUGCAUCAUGUUCCUUAUGCUUCAGCGGUUGGGAGUUUGAUGUAUGCUAUGGUGUGUACAAGGCCUGACAUUGCUCACGCGGUUAGUACUGUGAGCAGAUUUAUGUCCAAUUCAGGAAGACCUCAUUGGGAAGCCGUGAAGUGGAUUUUGAGAUAUCUUCGGGGCAGCACAAAUCUGAAACUUUGCUUCGGUGACGGUGAGGCAAAGCUGAUUGCUUUUUCAGAUUCUGACAUGGCUGGAGAUGUUGACAGAAGGAAGUCUACUUCAGGUUACUUGGUUACCUAUGCAGGGGGAGCGGUGUCAUGGCAAAGCAGGCUGCAGAAGUGUGUGGCAUUGAAUACAACUGAAGCUGAAUUCAUUGCUGUAACAGAGGCGAGCAAAGAGCUAUUGUGGCUGAAACGGUUGGCUUGUGAGCUUGGUUUUAAGCAAGACAAGUAUGUGUUGUUUUGGGACAACCAAAGUGCUAUUCACUUGAGUAAGAAUGCAAGUUUUCAUUCAAGGUCUAAGCAUAUAGAAGUCCGUUAUCAUUGGAUUCGAGAUGUGUUGUAUUCCAAGAAAAUGCAACUUGAGAAGGUUCACACCGAUGACAAUGGGGCUGAUAUGUUGACUAAAGUGGUGACAAGGAAGAAGCUCGAAGUAUGCCGCCGGAUCGCUGGCAUGGCUGCCGGAAGGCAGUGA
rnacentral:rRNA from 1 species